rnacentral:rRNA from 1 species
GACGAACGCUGGCGGCGUGCUUAACACAUGCAAGUCGAACGGAAAGGCCUUUUCGGAGGUACUCGAGUGGCGAACGGGUGAGUAACACGUGGGUGAUCUGCCCUGCACUCUGGGAUAAGCCUGGGAAACUGGGUCUAAUACCGGAUAGGACCGCACUUUAGUGUGUGUGGUGGAAAGUUUUUUCGGUGUAGGAUGAGCCCGCGGCCUAUCAGCUUGUUGGUGGGGUAAUGGCCUACCAAGGCGGCGACGGGUAGCCGGACUGAGAGGUUGGUCGGCCACAUUGGGACUGAGAUACGGCCCAGACUCCUACGGGAGGCAGCAGUGGGGAAUAUUGCACAAUGGGCGCAAGCCUGAUGCAGCGACGCCGCGUGGGGGAUGACGGCCUUCGGGUUGUAAACUCCUUUCGCCAGGGACGAAGCGUUUUGUGACGGUACCUGGAGAAGAAGCACCGGCGAACUACGU